rnacentral:rRNA from 1 species
CCUGCCCGGGAGAUCGGGAUAACAGUUCGAAAGGGCUGCUAAUACCGGAUGAUAUCUUUUCUUUUCGGAGGGAAGAUCAAAGCGUUUAGCGCUCUCGGAUGGGCCCGCGUCCCAUUAGUUAGUUGGUGGGGUAAUGGCCUACCAAGGCAGCGAUGGGUAGCCGGUCUGAGAGGAUGUUCGGCCACACUGGGACUGAGACACGGCCCAGACUCCUACGGGAGGCAGCAGUGGGGAAUUUUGCGCAAUGGGGGAAACCUUGACGCAGCGACGCCGCGUGAGUGAUGAAGGCCUUCGGGUUGUAAAGCUCUGUUGGGGGGGAAGAUAGUGACGGUACCCCCUGAGGAAGCCCCGGCUAACUACGUGCCAGCAGCCGCGGUAAGACGUAGGGGGCGAGCGUUGUCCGGAAUUACUGGGCGUAAAGGGCGUGUAGGCGGCUUUUCAAGUCGGCUGUGAAAUUCCUUGGCUUAACUGAGGGUGUGCAGUCGAAACUGAUGGGCUUGAGUGCAGGAGAGGGUGGUGGAAUUCCCGGUGUAGCGGUGACAUGCGUAAAUAUCGGGAGGAACACCGGUGGCGAAGGCGGCCUCCUGGCCUGUUACUGACGCUGAGGCGCAAAAGCCGGGGGACCAAACAGGAUUAAAUACCCUGGUUAUCCCGGCCGUAAACUCUGGGUACUA